UACGUAGGGCGCAAGCGUUGUCCGGAAUUAUUGGGCGUAAAAGAGCUCGUAGGCGGCUUGUCACGUCGGGUGUGAAAAGCCCGGGGCUUAACCCCCGGGUCGCAUUCGAUACGGGCAGGCUAGAGUGUGGUAGGGGGAGAUCGGAAUUCCUGGUGUAGCGGUGAAAAUGCGCAGAUAUCAGGAGGAACACCGGUGGCGAAGGCGGAUCUCUGGGGCCAUUACUGACGCUGAGGAGCGAAAGCGUGGGGGAGCGAAACAGG
rnacentral:rRNA from 1 species